GGUCUCGUAGUUCAACGGAUAGAAUAGAAGUUUCCUAAACUUUUGAUUCGGGUUCGAUUCCCGACGAGACUA
rnacentral:tRNA from 1 species